AUGAGUUUCUACAGCCUCCACGAGACUCUGCACCAUGAGAUUGCCAAAGUCCAGUCUCGCUUCUACUGGGCUGGCGACAACAAUAAGCAAAAGUACCAUAUGGCCAGUUGGCCGAACAUUUGCAAGCCCAGGGAUCAAGGAGGCCUUGGCAUCAUGUGCUCUAAGCGCAUGAAUAUCGCCCUCCUAUCCCGUUGGCUUUGGCGCAUCUCUCAAGGUCACGAUGGACUCUGGCUCGACAUCAUCCGGAACAAAUGCCUGCGCGGACAGCCCCUCGCCUUUUGCCAGAGAUCUGGCGGCUCCCAGUUCUGGCAGUCGGUCGUCCAGCUCCUUCCGGUUUUCCGCAUCAGGACUUCCAUCUCGAUCGGCUCCGGAGCAUCGACUUUGUUCUGGUUUGAUCUUUGGGCCGGAGACGCCCCCUUCGCGGCGCGCUUUCCCGGCCUCUUCCCCAUCUCCGUCGAUCCUGUGAUCUCUGUCGAGAGGGCCCUUAUUGACUUAGGGCGCUUCGCCUUCCGGAGGCCAUUUGGGCCCCCGGAGUCCGCCGCUUGGUGUGAGUUACUGGACUGUGUGGUCCUCCAUGAACCGAUGGUGGACGGUGGUCCCGACCAGGUGCGUUGGCGCUUGGAGCCUUCUGGCCAGUUCUCCACCAAGCCUCUCUAUCUGGCCAUCGCCCUUCCUCCGCCCCUCUCCCCCUUACGACGGUGUGGUCCAUCCGCCUACCUCUGA
rnacentral:rRNA from 1 species